GGGCUCGUAGCUCAGCGGCGAGUGCGCUCCGCUCAAGCACCUGUCUUAUAAGCAGGCGGUUCGAGGGUUCGAGCGGGGGGCAACCUUCGGGUUUCCCCCAACGCUUCCCCCUUCGCGGGAAGACCGGAAAUCCCUCCGAGCCCA
rnacentral:tRNA from 1 species